rnacentral:rRNA from 1 species
AGAGUUUGAUCAUGGCUCAGAAUGAACGUUGGCGGCGUGGAUUAGGCAUGCAAGUCGAACGUUGAAAGGGCAACCGAGUAGACGUGGCGAAAGGGGCAGUAAUGCAUAGGUAACCUACCCUCGGGACCGGGAUAGUCGGCGGAAACGCCGAGCAAUACCGGACGACGUAGUUUGGCGGCAUCGUCGGACUACCAAAGUUUUUCGCCCGGGGAGGGGCCUAUGUCCUAUCAGCUUGUUGGUGAGGUGACGGCUCACCAAGGCGACGACGGGUAGGGGGUGUGAGAGCACGACCCCCGUCACUGGCACUGAGACACUGGCCAGACUCCUACGGGAGGCUGCAGUCGAGAAUCUUCGGCAAUGGGCGAAAGCCUGACCGAGCGACGCCGCGUGGUGGAUGAAGGCCUUCGGGUUGUAAACACCUGUUGGGGGGGAACAAUUCCGAGUGAACCCCUGAGGAAGCACGGGCUAAGUUCGUGCCAGCAGCCGCGGUAAUUC